ensembl:lncRNA
CCAACUUUUUCAGUUGAUAGUGGUACUGGUGGUGGUAGUGUUAGUAGUACCCUUAUCCGGUGUCCUUGGACAUUACCAAGUAUCUGUCUGACUUGAACGUCCUGUGUGAAUUUAAUUUAAUCUCUCUCUCUCUCUGUCUCUGUCUGUCUCUCUCUCUCUCUCUCUCUAGAUUUUAUAUAUAUAUAUAAAAUCUAUAAUCUAUAUUCUCCACCCGGCACAGCCAGAAGAGGACUGGCCACCCCUCAUAGCCUGCCAGCAGCAUCCAGCUAGCAGCAUCCAGCCAGCAGCAUCCAGCCAGCAGCUCCCAGCCAGCAGCAUCCAGCCAGCAGCAUCCAGUUAGCAGCUCCCAGCCAGCAGCAUCCAGUUGCAGCAUCCAGUUAGCAGUGCCCAGCCAGCAGCAUCCAGCCAGCAGCAUCCAGCCAGCAGCUCCCAGCCAGCAGCAUCCAGCCAGUGUUCCCAGCUAGCAGCAUCCAGCCAGCAGCAUCCAGCCAGCAGCAUCCAGCCAGCAGCUCCCAGCCAGCAGCAUCCAGCCAGCUGCUCCCAGCUAGCAGCAUCCACCUAGCGGCAUCCAGCCACCAGCAUCCAGCUAGCAGCAUCCAGCGAGCAGCAUCCAGCCAGCAGCACCCAGCCAGCAGCAUCCAGCCAGCAGCAUCCAGUUAGCAGUUCCCAGCUAGCAGCAUCCAGCCAGCAGCAUCCAGCCAGCAGCUCCCAGACAGCAGCAUCCAGCCAGCAGCUCCCAGACAGCAGCAUCCAGUCAGCAGUUCCCAGCUAGCAGCAUCCAGCCAGCAGCAUCCAGCCAGCAGCUCCCAGACAGCAGCAUCCAGCCAGCUGCUCCCAGCUAGCAGCAUCCACCUAGCAGCAUCCAGCUAGCAGCAUCCAGCCAGCAGCAUCCAGCCAGCAGCACCCAGCCAGCAGCAUCCAGCCAGCAGCAUCCAGUUAGUAGUUCCCAGCCAGCAGCUCCCAGACAGCAGCAUCCAGUCAGCAGCUCCCAGCCAGCAGCAUCCAGCCAGCAGCAUCCGGCCAGCAGUUCCCAGCUAGCAGCAUCCAGCCAGCAGCAUCCAGCCAGCUAGCAGCAUCCAGCCAGCAGCAUCCAGACAGCAGCUCCCAGCCAGCAGCAUCCAGCCAGCAGCAUCCGGCCAGCAGUUACCAGCUAGCAGCAUCCAGCCAGCAGCAUCCAGCCAGCUAGCAGCAUCCAGCCAGCAGCAUCCAGACAGCAGCUCCCAGACAGCAGCAUCCAGUUAGCAGCUCCCAGCCAGCAGCAUACAGCCAGCAGCAUCCAGCCAGCAGCAUCCAGCCAGCAGCAUCCAGUUAGCAGUUCCCAGCUAGCAGCAUCCAGCCAGCAGCAAUCAGCCAGCAGCAUCCAGCCAGCAGCUCCCAGCCAGCAGCAUCCAGCCAGCAUCUCACAGCCAGCCGCUCCCAGCCAGCAGCAUCCAGCCAACAGCAUCCAGCUAGCAGCAUCCAGCCAGCAGUUCACAGCUAGCAGCAUCCAGCCAGCAGCAUCCAGCCAGCUAGCAGCAUCCAGCCAGCAGCAUCCAGACAGCAGCUCCCAGCCAGCAGCAUCCAGCCAGCAGCAUCCGGCCAGCAGUUCCCAGCUAGCAGCAUCCAGCCAGCAGCAUCCAGCCAGCUAGCAGCAUCCAGCCAGCAGCAUCCAGUUAGCAGCUUCCAGCCAGCAGCAUACAGCCAGCAGCAUCCAGCCAGCAGCAUCCAGCCAGCAGCAUCCAGUUAGCAGUUCCCAGCUAGCAGCAUCCAGCCAGCAGCAUCCAGCCAGCAGCAUCCAGCCAGCAGCUCCCAGCCAGCAGCAUCCAGCCAGCAUCUCCCAGCCAGCCGCUCCCAGCCAGCAGCAUCCAGCCAACAGCAUCCAGCUAGCAGCAUCCAGCCAGCAGUUCCCAGACAGCAGCAUCCAGCCAGCAGCAUCCGGCCAGCAGCUCCCAGCCAAUAGUUCCCAGCCAACAGCAUCCAUCCAGCAUCUCCCAGCCAGCAGAUCAAAGCCAGCAGCAUCUAUCCAGCAGCAGCCAGCCAGCAGCUCCUAGCCAGAAGCAUCUAGCCAGCAGCUCCCAGCCAGCAGCUCAAAGCCAGCAGCAUCUAGCCAGCAGCAUCUAGUCAGCUGCUCUGAGCAAACAGAAUUUAGCCAGCAGCAUCCAGCCAGCAGCUCCUAGUCAGCAGCAUCCAGCCAGCAGCAUCCAGCCAGCAGCUCCUAGCCAGCAGCAUCCAGCCAGCAGCUCCUAGCCAGCAGCAUCCAGCCAGCAGCUCCUAGCCAGCAGCAUCCAGCCAUCACCAUAAUUUCCUUGACAUUCACUACAUCUGCUGUACUAAGUGACAGUAAGUUAGGUGACAUUGGCACAAAGCUUCUCAAUGCAACCCCGGUGUACCAGUGUUCUCUAAGAGGGGGCUCAGAGCGACCCAGCCCCAGGCAGUGGUGGUUAUGGGAGG